GACGAACGCUGGCGGCGUGCCUAAUACAUGCAAGUAGAACGCUGAAGGAGGAGCUUGCUUCUCCGGAUGAGUUGCGAACGGGUGAGUAACGCGUAGGUAACCUGCCUGGUAGCGGGGGAUAACUAUUGGAAACGAUAGCUAAUACCGCAUAACAGUAGAUAUUGCAUGAUAUCUGCUUGAAAGGUGCAAUUGCAUCACUACCAGAUGGACCUGCGUUGUAUUAGCUAGUUGGUGAGGUAACGGCUCACCAAGGCGACGAUACAUAGCCGACCUGAGAGGGUGAUCGGCCACACUGGGACUGAGACACGGCCCAGACUCCUACGGGAGGCAGCAGUAGGGAAUCUUCGGCAAUGGACGGAAGUCUGACCGAGCAACGCCGCGUGAGUGAAGAAGGUUUUCGGAUCGUAAAGCUCUGUUGUAAGAGAAGAACGAGUGUGAGAGUGGAAAGUUCACACUGUGACGGUAUCUUACCAGAAAGGGACGGCUAACUACGUGCCAGCAGCCGCGGUAAUACGUAGGUCCCGAGCGUUGUCCGGAUUUAUUGGGCGUAAAGCGAGCGCAGGCGGUUAGAUAAGUCUGAAGUUAAAGGCUGUGGCUUAACCAUAGUACGCUUUGGAAACUGUUUAACUUGAGUGCAAGAGGGGAGAGUGGAAUUCCAUGUGUAGCGGUGAAAUGCGUAUAUAUAUGGAGGAACACCGGUGGCGAAAGCGUCUCUCUUGGCUUGUAACUGACGCUGAGGCUCGAAAGCGUGGGGAGCAAACAGUG
rnacentral:rRNA from 1 species